rnacentral:rRNA from 1 species
AGACCCGAAACCCGGUGAUCUAGCCAUGGGCAGGUUGAAGGUUGGGUAACACUAACUGGAGGACCGAACCGACUAAUGUUGAAAAAUUAGCGGAUGACCUGUGGCUGGGGGUGAAAGGCCAAUCAAACCGGGAGAUAGCUGGUUCUCCCCGAAAGCUAUUUAGGUAGCGCCUCGUGAAUUCAUCUCCGGGGGUAGAGCACUGUUUCGGCUAGGGGGCCAUCCCGGCUUACCAACCCGAUGCAAACUGCGAAUACCGGAGAAUGUUAUCACGGGAGACACACGGCGGGUGCUAACGUCCGUCGUGAAGAGGGAAACAACCCAGACCGCCAGCUAAGGUCCCAAAGUCAUGGUUAAGUGGGAAACGAUGUGGGAAGGCCCAGACAGCCAGGAUGUUGGCUUAGAAGCAGCCAUCAUUUAAAGAAAGCGUAAUAGCUCACUGGUCGAGUCGGCCUGCGCGGAAGAUGUAACGGGGCUAAACCAUGCACCGAAGCUGCGGCAGCGAACGUAUCACUUAAAGCGAUUCAGCGGGUUACGAUUGACGGAGCGAAGCGACGUCAAAGCGUAUACAAAGUCGAGUCGGUUUAAGGAUACGUUCGUUGGGUAGGGGAGCGUUCUGUAAGCCGU